UGAGUAAUGUCUGGGAAACUGCCUGAUGAGGGGAUAACUACUGGAAACGGUAGCUAAUACCGCAUAACGUCGCAAGACCAAAGAGGGGGACCUUCGGGCCUCUUGCCAUCAGAUGUGCCCAGAUGGGAUUAGCUAGUAGGUGGGGUAACGGCUCACCUAGGCGACGAUCCCCUAGCUGGUCUGAGAGGAUGACCAGCCACACUGGAACUGAGACACGGUCCAGACUCCUACGGGAGGCAGCAGUGGGGAAUAUUGCACAAUGGGCGCAAGCCUGAUGCAGCCAUGCCGCGUGUAUGAAGAAGGCCUUCGGGUUGUAAAGUACUUUCAGCGGGGAGGAAGGGAGUAAAGUUAAUACCUUUGCUCAUUGACGUUACCCGCAGAAGAAGCACCGGCUAACUCCGUGC
rnacentral:rRNA from 1 species